rnacentral:lncRNA from 1 species
UUACUUGGUCAAUUUGAAAGAUUGAGUCUUGAAUAAGGUUACUUGGCAGUUUGCUUUAGCCCAUGCCAAUUAGAUUGAUCACAUGAUGACUGAUUAGAUGAGAUCUAAAUUACAAUCUCUCUAUAAAUAUUAAGUCCAUAGAUCUUUUAUCAUUAUAGAUGUGCGGGCAUGCUACUGGUAUUGAUUGUUCUUGGUGGGUCAUAAUGGUUUAGUUGCACUGGGAACAC